UACGUAGGGCGCAAGCGUUGUUCGGAAUCACUGGGCGUAAAGCGCACGUAGGCGGAUUUGUCAGUCAGGGGUGAAAUCCCGGGGCUCAACCUCGGAACUGCCUUUGAUACAGCAAGUCUUGAGUUCGAGAGAGGUGGGUGGAAUUCCUAGUGUAGAGGUGAAAUUCGUAGAUAUUCGGAAGAACACCAAUGGCGAAGGCGACUCACUGGACAUGUAUUGACGCUGAGGUACGAAAGCGUGGGGAGCAAACAGG
rnacentral:rRNA from 1 species